rnacentral:rRNA from 1 species
ACGAACGCUGGCGGCAUGCCUAAUACAUGCAAGUCGAACGCCUGGAGCAAUCCAGGAGUGGCGGACGGGUGAGUAACGCGUGGGAACCUGCCCAGCGGUGGGGAACAACCGAGGGAAACUUCGGCUAAUACCGCAUACGCCCUUACGGGGAAAGAUUUAUCGCCGUUGGAGGGGCCCGCGUCCGAUUAGCUAGUUGGUGAGGUAACGGCUCACCAAGGCGACGAUCGGUAACUGGUCUGAGAGGACGACCAGUCACACUGGGACUGAGACACGGCCCAGACUCCUACGGGAGGCAGCAGUAGGGAAUAUUGGACAAUGGGGGAAACCCUGAUCCAGCAAUGCCGCGUGAGUGAUGAAGGCCUUAGGGUUGUAAAGCUCUUUCGCCCGCGACGAUGAUGACGGUAGCGGGAGAAGAAGCCCCGGCUAACUUCGU